rnacentral:rRNA from 1 species
GACAGAGGCCCCGAGCGUUAGGCGGAAUCACUGGGCUUAAAGCGUGUGUAGGCGGGCCCGUAAGUGUCUUGUGAAAUCCCACGGCUCAACCGUGGAACUGCUGGGCAUACUGCGGGUCUUGGGCCAACUAGGGGCAGCCGGAACAAGCGGUGGAGCGGUGAAAUGCGUAGAUAUCGUUUGGAACGCCAAUGGUGAAAACAGGUCGCUGGGGAUGUGCUGACGCUGAGACACGAAAGCCAGGGGAGCAAACGGG